rnacentral:rRNA from 1 species
AUAUCAAUAAGCGGAGGAAAAGAAACCAACAGGGAUUGCUCUAGUAACGGCGAGUGAAGCAGCAAUAGCUCAAAUUUGAAAUCUGGCGUCUUCGGCGUCCGAGUUGUAAUUUGUAGAGGAUGCUUCUGAGUAGCCACCGACCUAAGUUCCUUGGAACAGGACGUCAUAGAGGGUGAGAAUCCCGUAUGCGGCCAGGUGCCUACGCUCAUGUGAAGCUCCUUCGACGAGUCGAGUUGUUUGGGAAUGCAGCUCAAAAUGGGUGGUAAUUUCAUCUAAAGCUAAUAUUUGGCCAGAGACCGAUAGCGCACAAGUAGAGUGAUCGAAAGAUGAAAAGCACUUUGGAAAGAGAGUUAAACAGUACGUGAAAUGUUGAAAGGGAAGCGCUUGCAACCAGACUUGCGCGCGGCCGAUCAUCCGGUGUUCUCACCGGUGCACUCGGCCGUGCUCAGGCCAGCAUCGGUUUUGGCGGCUGGAUAAAGGCCCUAGGAAUGUAGCUCCUCUCGGGGAGUGUUAUAGCCUAGGGUGCAAUGCAGCCUGCUGGGACCGAGGACCGCGCUUCGGCUAGGAUGCUGGCGUAAUGGUUGUAAGCGG